UGUACCCAGGAACACUUCCCUCUCUCUCUUUCCCCCGCUCCUUCUCCACUGACCCUCCCAAAACCAAACACCCACCCACCUGCUUUUCGGAAUCUGCGAGCACUUUCCACCACCACCUUCUGCGUCUCAUGCCGGCGUUGGGGGGGGUCACUGCUUAGGCUGAACGGUUCCCUGACCUGAGUCAGUGGGGGUAAGUGCCAGUGGAGCACAAGUAAAGGGCGGAGCUGGAUGAAACGAGCAGUAAGAAACACCUGCAGCUGAAAAAACUAAUCAGUGCCCUCUGUUUCAGUCCGGCGACGACAAGAAAGAGAGAGAGCCACCAAGCAGAGACGAGCGGAAGGAUCGCUGAAAAGACGUGCCGGCCGGCAAGCGCACUCGGGCAAACGCCAGGGAAAAGCGUGCCGGUCUGCGAGGAAACUCAGGUGGGCGCUAAAGAGAGAAGAGCUAAACUGAAAGAACGGGAUGGCAAAUGACCUCAUCAGUGUCAGAGAUACAAAACAGAUACAGAUCCCUACAAAAUCCAGGCUCAGAAAUCACAGCAUGGCGAAAGAAGGACUGACACAAACAGACACAAUGUCUUAAAGAAGAGAGUGUGCUGUCAGUGUUCGACUGAUGACCUGGAGACAGAGGAGCACUUUCUGCUUUACUGUAGUACCUUUCCCGACACAAGAGGACAAAUACACUCUAUAGACAAAGUUGGCUCUUGGUCUCCUGAUGAAACUGCAGUAUUUUGAUAGUCAUCCAGGAAAGCUGUACAAGUGGGUCGGGAUGGAGAGGAAUUUUCUGGUGCUGGUUUGUCGCUGUUUGAAGUUCGCCGUUCUGUCUCGAGCAGAACAACAGAAACUGCGAGACAUUCGGCCAAAGAAAAUAUUCAGAAUCAUUACUCAACAUGUUACUCAGUUUCUUCCGUGUUAGUCAUAACCAUUACAUUGGCACUAACUAAAACCUGCGUGUGUGUAUUCAUACAAGUGUACAUCCAAGGCCGUUUCCUGUAGUGUGCUGGUCUUGGACACAGAAAAACAAAAUGAAGACUUUGGAGUGGCCUAGUCAAAGUCCUGACCUGAAACCUAUUGAGAUGCUGGGCAUUACCUUAAAAAGGCGGUUCAUGAGUGGACUAAAAUUCCUCCACAGCUCUUUAAGACGAGCGCUUUAAGAGCCGAAGAACUAGAAGGCGUGAGAGAUCUGGAAGACCUGCGAUGAGCUCAACCCUCGAAAAUGUCGGACUUCGCCCUCUUCUGGAUAAAGAUUCGGCUCAACGGUCGCCGAAUUGACACCGUUGAAAAGAUCCAGAACGAAACCCGGAAGGUGCUUGACACGCUUCCGGGACAAAUUGGCAGGAAUGCUGGGAUCACUGUAUUUCUGUGCAAGGGGACUAUUUGAAGGUGAUUGUGUAUAAAUAUAGAUCAAUUUAGUACUUUCUUGUAAACAGAGCAGGUCUCGGAACUUUUUGAUACCACCUUGUGUAUGAUCACGUACUGGCCACUUCAUUAUUGCACAAUACUUCAAGCUUCAUGACAGGUUAGUGACAUCAGCCUGUCACAGGAAGUCUAGAACUGCAUUGGGUUGUUUUACCAGAUUUGCGUUCCUGGCUGACAUGAGUGGAACCUGAGGUGCGAUGCAAAAUUGGACGAAUACAGAAAUACAUAAUACAGAAUACAUCAGGAAAUUCAAAUCUAAAAUGAAAGUCUCCCAAACACUUUUGCCAUUCGUUUAUGCAUUCUGGUGUUUCUGGUGCUUCUACAUAAAAGCUCCAGAAUGUCAGUUCUGAUUUCGCAGGAACUUGGCUGAAAGCAAGACUGAGUUGCCAAACAUAGUUCUAUAAUUAACAUACUAUCCAGACAUGGUCAUGCAUAAUACAUCACAUGGUAAUACUAACGCUGGAUACACUGUAGUUACAUGCAAGACUUGCAUUUAAACCAGACCCAGCAACAUUUCCAUUAGGAAACUAUCUGCAUAUUAAUUCAGUUCAAUUCGGUUUUAUUUGUACAGUGCGUUUGACAACGAAUAGCAGCUUUCGAGGAAAUUAAUAGGUUAAGAAAAUAUAAAACAAACAUUUAAAUGUAUGAGUUUAUCCUGUAUUUAGCGAGCCAGAGGUGAUGUGCAAAGGGAGGCUCCAGACUCAAAAAGGAACACAUCAUCCCAUUACAUGGGUGACACAAGAUAUUCAUUCAUUAUAGAUUCAUCUCAUAUAGGUUCUGACUCUUUUUUCCUUCAUUCCUCCUUUGUCAUCCCUUCCUUCUUCCCUUCCUUCCUUAAUCUGUCAUGUACCCCUUUGUUCGUUCCUCGUUUUUCAUCCCUUUCUACUUUCCUUCAUUUGUUCCGUCAUCCCUUCCUCUAUACUUCGUUUUUCCGUUUCUUCCUUCCUCCUAUCCUUCAUUUGUUUAUUAAUUCCUUCCGUUACCCUUUGUUUUUUCGCUCAUCCCUUCCUCCUAUCCUUAGUUUUUUAAUCAUUCCUGUUGUUUUUUUCCAUGCAUCCCUUUUAUUCUUUCCUUCA